GUUUCAAAGAGGAUGAACAAACUUGUCCUGUACAGACACACACUAACAUCAUAAAUACAGAAAAAAGAAUUGUUUCAAGGUCCCAAGUCCAAAAAUAUAAAAAUCUUGAGGGUCAUGUUUUGACUGAUCACCAUACUUUCCCUCUGUUAUAUAUAACAGCCAGUAAAGUAAAAAGAGUAAAUGGAAAAACCUGACAGAACAAAAUUUAUAGAUUUAAUUUAAAAUAUUCUGAUUACUAACUUAAUUUUACAGAGAGUUCAUUGCUCAAUCUGUAGCUCGAACCAACUUAAUAUUAUUGGCAAUACGUAGUACAUGUGCUUGCGAGACAACAACUGUGACUUUAGAGCCAAGAAAAGAAGCACAGGACACAGAAGCUAAAUGUUAUAAAAUGAAAAAUGAUAAACUUAGAAGCAGACCACCAAGUUGCAUUAAUAAUCAUGCAGAGGAGAUUGAAAUCAAACAGUGUGGAAGAGGAUCAGUGCUCAGUGCUUCCAUUUAUUCCCAGUGUGGAAUCCUUUUACUCUUAAGAAUGCUUAAUAAAUAUUUGAUAUAAACACAAUAAGAAAAUAUUUUGCUGUGAUUGGACAGAAAAAAAAUGAAGUGCUCUGAAUUAAGAGUAUCUGUUCCAUAUCAGCCUUUUUCUUAUGAAUUGACACCAUGCUUCAAUUCAGAAACACUGGUUAAAUCAUGUUUGAUGGAGACGAUAUAUAUGAUAGAGUCCAGAAUUCAAAGUUUUGUGACAUAUCAAUUCAUUCACAAAAAUUGGUUAUGCUUCAGAUUAAAUUAAUUUUGUUAAAAAAUAAAUAAAUUUUAUUUUCACACUGUUUAUUAUUUUCACAACUGUAAUGAUGAUGAAUAUAAUUCAAUAAAAUAACACUGAAAAAAAUGAGAUUGACUUUAUCUACGUACAAAAUUUUUAUGUAUUAAUAAAAAUUAAAAAGAAGGUAAUAAUAAUAUAUAAUCUUGGUUGUAAAUAAAUUCAAAUUACAAUUAAAAAAAACUAUGUAUAGUAAAAAA